AAUUUAUUUUCUAAUUGCAGGAGCAAUAUGGGCAAGAGAUGGUUAGACGCCAUGGUGAAAACUUCGAAUGGCGGAAGGGACCUAUUGAUCCGGAGGCGUUGCAUGCUAGCGGUGGUGGAAAGGAGCAUGGAUGGUACUCCAUGUUUACCGGGGUGGUCGACUCGAGAGAUGUUCGAUCACGCAGGGGAUCUUCCUCUUAGAGUUUGGGUUGUACUUCUAGCUGAUAUCGCCGCACGGAGCAAGAUCUUGUAAUCGAGAAUCUGCAAGAGGCGCUAAGGGCGCAAAACGAGUACAACUUACAGCAGCAAGAGUACAACUUACAGCAACAAGAGUACUACAGAAAACAGCAAGAGUACUUUGCUAACUACACCGUACAACAACAAGAUUGGUUUUGCCUCAGUGUUGCAGCAGCAGCAUGGCCAUAAAUAUAUCUUGCCACCGUGGCGGCCGCCACCACCAAUGCCACCUCCACCGCCACCACCGCCAAUGUUGCCUCAGUUCUAUCCUCUGAGACCUCCUGCAGCCGGGGUUCGAUUAACUGGCUUAAAUUCAGUUCAAUUUAUCCAAUGCUGUUGAACUUAGUAGAUUCUAAACACAUGCAGUCAGUAUAGUUGAAUCAGUAAAUUGUAGCUUCACUUAUCCAAAUUUAGUAGAUUCUGUACACUUGUUCUAUUUCAGUAAAUCUAUACACUAGGGAUCAGUAGUAAAUCUAUACUUCUUGUCUAAAUCAGUAAAUCUAUUUCAUCUUCUAUACACCAGGGAUCAGGAGUAAAUGUGAUAGACACCUGCCAAACCCCUCUAGCACAGCCAGCAAAUGCACCUAGAGAGGAGGAUGACCGGGCUACCAUCUGGGCCAGAAACAUAUUCGCUUCCGGAGGUAGUGGACACAACUCGAACGACCCUCAGAUGCUGUGAGAUAUGCUUUCUUUGCUGGACUUCCUUUUGCUAAAACUUUCUUGUAUUGAGAUUUUCUCCAAGUCAUGUGAAUGUGGUAUGGAGCUUGUACUGAGAUUUGGAACACGCUUUGGAGCCUGUAUUUGCUAUAUAUGAAUGAUGUGUGCUGAGAUUUGAUUAUUGUCUUCCACUGUUAUUGGACU